AAUAAUGUUAGCAGCUAACAUUUAUGAAGCACUAUGUCAGGCACUGUUCUCAGGUUUAUUAACUUGUUUAGAGUUCACAAGAACCUUACGAGACGGGUCAUCAUUUGUACAUGAAGAAUCCAAAGCUCCCGAUACGGUGUUAUCAGCCAGUGACAGAGCUGGAAGAAGGUCAGAGCCCUUGACCACCUGCUCCCAAAUCCGUCAUUCUGCACAGCAUCCUGAAAGAUGGAGUUUCCUUACUUCUCUCCUGUGGUGUGUGAUCUCAUGAAACACUUAAUUAAAGCAUCAAGGGAUGAACAUGUGCCACAGGAGAAGCCAGUGGAAAACACCCUCACUGGAAUUUGAAUUGUGAGCAGAAUGAUGAAAAUGGCUGGAGUACUACUGCCAGGAUGACAAUAUUGAUCCCGUGGGGCAAUUGGAGCCACUGGUUAUUGAUCUUUACAAGACUGUACUUCAGGCAUCCCUUUAAUCCUCAAAUGAAGGAAGACUGCUUCUCAAUGACCCAACUAAGAAAGGAAAAGUUGAAAUUGUAUGUCAGUCAUUUGCAACUCAUCUUAAGGGAAACAAUGACCAGAUCAUUUUUUAAGGCACUUAGAUUUAAAUAGAACUUUUCUGGGGUCUGGCUUUUCUUAAAUCCUUGAAAAUAA